UACGUAGGGCGCAAGCGUUGUCCGGAAUUAUUGGGCGUAAAGAGCUCGUAGGCGGUUUGUCGCGUCUGCCGUGAAAGCCUGGGGCUUAACUCCGGGUCUGCGGUGGAUACGGGCAGACUAGAGGCAGGUAGGGGAGAACGGAAUUCCCGGUGUAGCGGUGAAAUGCGCAGAUAUCGGGAGGAACACCGGUGGCGAAGGCGGUUCUCUGGGC
rnacentral:rRNA from 1 species